ACAUGAUAACAGUUUUCAAGUAUAUAAGAGGUUGUUACAAAGAGGAGGGAGAAAAAAUGUACUCCUUAGCCUCUGAAGAUAGGACAAGAAGCAAUGGGCUUAAGUUGCAGCAAGGGCAGUUUAGGUUACAAUUUGUCAGGGUAUUUAAACACUGGUAUAAAUUACCUAGGAGGUUGUGGAACCUCCAUAAUUGAAGAUUUUUAAGAGCAGGUUAGACAAACGUGCCAGUGUGGGUCUAGGUAAUACUUAGUGCUGCAAUGAAUGCAUGGGACUGGACUAGACCUCUCUCUGGAGGUCCUUCCAGUCCUACAAUUCUAUGAUGGAAGUUCACACAUCAGGACUAUUAUUUCAGGCUGCCUGCAGACCAAGGCAGACAACACUUUGGAAGGCUACCUUUGUUAACCAUGAGGACUAGAAAUCUUAUUUAAAAAACAGUUUAGAUUUGGGAGAAUCUGACUCUGCCCCUGCAUUCACAAAUGUGUCAAAAGGGCAAUGUGUUUAACACUUCAGUGACUCUUAAGUAAAUUAAGUCCUGAUGUCUCCAAGAAACAAAAUAGAGCUUGUUUUAUCUUGGACUCCGUAUGAUCUUCAGAGAAUGUGGUCAGGAGAAAGUCAAGACUCUGGAGAAGGCUAGGUGCAGAGAGAGGCUCCUCUGAGAAUGGAACAUGAGGUCCCUUUAGGGUGACCAGACUCCCAAUAUUAGGGGCUUCAUCUUAUAAAGGCAACUAUGCCUCCCUCCAAAAAAGUGUCUCAAUAUUUUGUACUUGCUAUCUGGUCACCCUAGGGCCCUUGCAGCAAGAGCUGGGACGAUUCUGGGAAUGGAAUAAGAAGCCCUCUGUAGGAGGUCAGGUAUGAUGCUGAGACUUGGCUUAUUUAUUUUACAAGAACAUCAUAAUAGUAAAGCCAAAAAUACAAUUGUAUGCCUGCCUCUUUAGGGGGAAGAGCUGUGGCUCAAGCAAAUAUUUAAGAGUCUUCACUCUUCCAAGAUUUUGAAAAUGACACCUACUUCAAGCCUUAUGUCCAUUUCUAUUCUAGGAACCGGGUGGUACCUGGAUCCUCAAGCACUUGGAGCCAUUCUCUCUGGAAUUAACUUGAUUAUCACACUGAGUUCCAUGGACUACUGUAAUUCUCCCAGAACACUUCUAAAAGACCCAUGGAGCUGCUGCUUUUAUCCUGGUGGAGUAACUGGUCAGUCUUAAACAGUGAUGCUUCCUGUCUAAAGGUUUAUAAAGCUUUUUUUAAUAUAGGUAACUCAGAACAAGGCUGCUUUCUAACUUUGUAUUAGAUGCUUAUAUUUGUGUAAAUUCAAUCAUACUUAGAUUUUUGAGGCAAGAACCUUACCCCAUUUUGAUGACGUAGCAAACAUGUAAGAGGACAAAAUCAAACUGCAAACUGACCUGGAGAGAUUAGAGCAGUGGAGUUUUCAGGAAAUUAUGGGAGGUUUACUAUUAACAACUGUGAUGUCCAGGGAAAAGAAAUAACCAGCUUAGAUACAUAAUUAAACAAUCAUAUCCAUUUCAGGUUUCAGAGUAGCAGCCGUGUUAGUCUGUAUUCGCAAAAAGAAAAGGAGUACUUGUGGCACCUUAGAGACUAACAAAUUUAUUUGAGCAUAAGCUUUCGUGAGCUACAGCUCACUUCAUCGGAUGUAUCCGAUGAAGUGAGCUGUAAGCUCACGAAAGCUUAUGCUCAAAUAAAUUUGUUAGUCUCUAAGGUGCCGCAAGAUAUCCAUUUCAGUGAUUUGAGUUUGUUUUCGUUAUGUUGUCUUUCGUAUUGCUCUGUUAUUACUUUUCUGUGUACCCAAGGAGUCUAGUUACUGCAGAAGAGAUGUGGGCCCAGGAGGGGAAAUGUCCACAAGAAAAUCUCAAUCUUUAAAAAUGUUUCCCAAUAUAAAAAAGUUUGAGAAGAACUGGGUUAUAGGGCAAACACAUUGAAAAUAAUAUUCUGCCUUAUAAAAUUAAAUGUUUUUUAAUAUGGGACUGAUAUGUGGCUCUUAAGGGAUUUUAGCAAGUGUAGCCCUAAGAAAAAAAAUGAUGUUUUUCUGUGUGAUAAAUUUUACCCAGUCCGAGCAUCUUCUUUGCUCUUACUCCUUUUGUUACCCAGAUGCUUGCAUCAGCACUAUACCAUAUAAUCAUUAUUACUGUAUUCCAGAGAUGUGGUCCAAACCACAUCUUUCAUUAAUGUCUCUACAAUGUUUUGGGCCAUUACUAUAGAAUACCUUACUGUUACUUAUAGCUCAUUGUAAUCCUGAAAGUGAAUAAUUUUGGAGAAAUCAGUAAAAUUCCAACUAUCCAUUUUUAAAAAAUUUUCACUAAUUAACAGUUUUUAGACACUUUUUUUAAUGUGGAAUUCUCAAAAAUAGUUUUAUUUUGAAAUCUGAAAUCUGAUUAGGCAUCUUUGAGGAUGUCAUGCUUUGCUAUUUUACAAUAAAAUGGUUGAGAAAUAAAUUAUAAAUGAGUGAAAAUAUAGCAUGCAUCUCUGUAAUUUUUCUUGCUAAUUUAAGUGUGCAAGAAUGGUUAUCCUGGUAAACAUCUUGUUUUUGUGUGCUGUUUCAAAGAUCACACAUCAAAAUAAAAACGUAUUUGAAAGUGUGAUCUCAUGUACUUGUGAUAAAAUAAAAAUAACUACUGAGUGGUUUCAUGUGUGGUCAUUGGUUUGUAAUAGAUCAUCAUUUCUGUAAAUAAGAAUAUAUUGUCAUGUUAGGUGAAUAUACAUGAUUAAAUAAAAAAUAGGUAGUUUGUAUGCUCAAUAGUUUUUAUUUAAAAGCAAUUAAAUUAAAUACAUAAUAGUAUGUUAAUGUAACAUGAUACUUGAGAUUUUAAUUCAAAAAAGGCAAGGACAUUUAAAGUUAUGUUACUGAUUUAUUUAGAGUUAUAAAAAAAUAAAAACAGGGCACUGCCCAAGGUUUUAGCUCCCCUGCCAUAAAUUACAAAAACAUAUAAUAAUAAACCACUUGCAGAACAAACUCUCUCCUACCAUUCUGAUUUCUCUCAAAUCUUUUAGCAAUGUUAUAUAUAUAUAUAUUUAUCAGCUUUGAAAAUUAUCAUGAAUAUUCAGUAACUCUUUGAUCUCAACAAGAAUAAUUAGGUUAGUAAAGACUAGUUGUGCAAGUAAGGGUUUGCAGGUUCAGGCCCUAUUAUGAAAGCCUGUGCAGAGUUUUGCAAUGCUGACAUAAAGUAAUGAAGAUAACACCAUAUGAAGUAAUGGAAAAUACUAGUGAGACAAGUUAUGAUUGCUGUAGGAACAAUGAAUAUGGAUUUCCUGAUUUACAUACAUUUAGCAUUUCAACCUUAAUGUAUUUGCC